rnacentral:rRNA from 1 species
GGUACCGUCAGGCCUAACGUGUAUUAUACGUUAGGAGGUUCUUCCCCUCUGACAGAGCUUUACGACCCAAGAGCCUUCAUCACUCACGCGGUAUUGCUGCGUCAGGCCUUCGCCCAUUGCGCAAAAUUCCCCA